AGAGUUUGAUCAUGGCUCAGAACGUACGCUGGCGGCACGCCAAACAUAUGCAAGUCGAACGAAGUAGCAAUACUUAGUGGCAGACGGGUGAGUAACAUGUAGGUAUCUUCCCUUUGGCCUGGAAUAACACGAGGAAACUUGUGCUAAUACUGGAUAAGUCUUUACGGAGAAAGCUUUAUGCACCAUUGGAUGAGCCUGCACUUGAUUAGUUUGUUGGUGGGGUAAAGGCCUACCAAGACUGUGAUCAAUAGCUGAUUUGAGAGGAUGAUCAGCCACAUUGGGACUGAGACACGGCCCAAACUCCUACGGGAGGCAGCAGUGGGGAAUCUUGCACAAUGGAGGAAACUCUGAUGCAGCGAUGCCGCGUGAGUGAAGAAGGCCUUUGGGUUGUAAAGCUCUUUCGUCGGGGAAGAAAAUGACUGUACCCGAAUAAGAAGGUCCGGCUAACUUCGUGCCAGCAGCCGCGGUAAUACGAAGGGACCUAGCGUAGUUCGGAAUUACUGGGCUUAAAGAGUUCGUAGGUGGUUGAAAAAGUUGGUGGUGAAAUCCCAGAGCUUAACUCUGGAACUGCCAUCAAAACUUUUCAGCUAGAGUUUGAUAGAGGAAAGCAGAAUUUCUAGUGUAGAGGUGAAAUUCGUAGAUAUUAGAAAGAAUACCAAUUGCGAAGGCAGCUUUCUGGAUCAUUACUGACACUGAGGAACGAUAGCAUGGGUAGCGAAGAGGAUUAGAUACCCUCGUAGUCCAUGCCGUAAACGAUGUGUGUUAGACGUUGGAAAUUUAUUUUCAGUGUCGCAGCGAAAGCGAUAAACACACCGCCUGGGGAGUACGACCGCAAGGUUAAAACUCAAAUGAAUUGACGGGGACCCGCACAAGUAGUGGAGCAUGUGGUUUAAUUCGAAGAUACGCGCAGAACCUUACCAACACUUGACAUGUUCGUCGCGACUUUAAGAGAUUAAAGUUUUCGGUUCGGCCGGACGAAACACAGGUGCUGCAUGGCUGUCGUCAGCUCGUGUCGUGAGAUGUUGGGUUAAGUCCCGCAACGAGCGCAACCCUCACUUUUAGUUGCCAUCAUUUAGUUGGGCACUCUGAAAGAACUGCCAGUGAUAAGCUGGAGGAAGGUGGGGAUGACGUCAAGUCCUCAUGGCCCUUACGUGUUGGGCUACACACGUGCUACAAUGGUAUUUACAACAGGAAGCAAAACGGCGACGUUAAGCAAAUCCUCAAAAAAUACCUCAGUUCGGAUUGCACUCUGCAACUCGAGUGCAUGAAGCUGGAAUUACUAGUAAUCGUGGAUCAGCGUGCCACGGUGAAUGCGUUCCC
rnacentral:rRNA from 1 species